rnacentral:rRNA from 1 species
UACGUAGGGGACGAGCGUUGUCCGGAAUUAUUGGGCGUAAAGAGCUCGUAGGUGGUUCGGUAAGUCGGAUGUGAAAUCUCCAGGCUCAACCUGGAGGGGUCAUUCGAUACUGCCGUGACUAGAGGUCGGUAGGGGAGUGUGGAAUUCCUGAUGGAGCGGUGAAAUGCGCAGAUAUCAGGAGGAACACCCGUAGCGAAGGCGGCACUCUGGGCCGAUACUGACACUGAGGAGCGAAAGCGUGGGGAGCGAACAGG